AGCAGAAGAGUCUGGUGGAGCAACAGAGGAACAAUUUCAGCCAUUUGGACUCAACUCAGCCACUAUAGAGGAAAUGAUGACUUCAACACAGAAGGACCAACAUGGAGCGAGAAGUCAGCGCUCUCAGGAGGCCAAAAAACCUCACAGAAGAAAGGGAGAGAAAACCUACAGCUGUGAUGAGUGUGGGAAGGACUUUACCCGGGGUGGAGACUU